CACGAACACGAGGCUGUCUGCAGGCACCUCGAGUGGCCCGCCACGGCGUGGGAAGGCGUCCUCCGCGUCCGACAGCUCCAGACGAAACAGGGGUCUGCGAAGCCAGGGCCCAGAGCAGGCGAGAGAAUCCUGGGGAGGAAGCGGUUGAGGAAAGAUCCGCUGGGGAGGCCCGCUUUUGCCCGGACUCUGCUCAGGGAUCCGCUAAAGCAGGAAGACCUCGGACCCCUUCCAAGGCGAUGUGGGCACUGGUAUCCAGUUGGAUUCGAGGCUUGGGGUUUUGGGUUUGUAGAGGGCCGCAAUCCCAGAUGGGGAGCACGUGUGCCAAGGGCAGGGGUCCUCUGUUCCUGCCUCUGCGCGUACACACACACACACACACACACACACGCACGCACGCACGCAAACCCUGGCCCGCACACGGAGAUCGGUCUUCAAAGAUGACUCAAUUGGGGUCGCCAAAGAGAAGCUGCAUGCUUGGGUCCCCCAAGCAUUUGGAAAUGGCCCUACUUGCACUGCCUUUGUCCUACGAUAGCUGCUGGGGACUUAGGGGUUGGUGCCCAUCUGGAGAUGGGGGACAAGGAGGCCCCACCCUGUCCCCAUCAGCCUAGGUGGGGCGGACGUGGUCCCCCUAACCUCUACAUACCGAGGGGCCCAUCAGGCAAGGCGGCGGCCCCAGGCAGCAGGAGCAGCAGGAGCGUGGCGCCCAGCAUGCUGUGCCGGCGGAGGACGGAGCCCUGUGGGCCAGCAGCAGACACCUGCGUAGGCUGUGCCCAGGCCCUGCAGGUGGGCAGGGAGCCCUGGCCUUGGCCAGACACCGCUCCAGGAAGCAGAGAGCGGGGGUGAGGGUGGGAGGGCCUGACACCAGAGCCCAUGUCCAAGGCCUGCAGGGAUUAGGGGCUCCUCUCCUGCUCUGCCUGAGAUGCCCGGAGAGCCCCUCCCUCUGGAAAGCUGCCCCUUUGAACGGGCGCCCUCAGUUCCCCCUCCAGAGCUAGGCUCCAACCCAUCCUGGCCUCUCCCCAGGGCGCCCGCCAGGUGCUACCAGGCUGAGGACACACCACACUCAAGAAAAGGGAGGGGUUUUAUUCUCAAGCGUCCAAGGAGUUACAAACGAGGGCGAUUCGUUUUAAAAAGGAACAGGGCAAUACUGGCAGCCUGAGAGGGGCUCCAUGGACCGGUGGGCUGGGCCAGGCCACCCAGGCCGCUGCCCGCCCGGCCCUCUGCCUGGUCCAGAGGGAUGGCUGGUGACAGGGGAGGUCUUGGGAGGGGCAGGGGGCAGCCCCAGGCCCCCACUUAACACUGAAGGGUAGGGGCCGGGCAGACACACUCGCACAACAGGAAAAGUAAAAUAAAAUCGAAACCAGGCAGCCCAGCCUCAGGCCAAGCCGAGCAACCUUCUAGUGACCCUCCCUGGCCGCGGAGGGCAGGGGCCAGGCCACCCACCCUCCCACAGAGGAGGCGGGAGCAGAAGGUGGUCUCCGGGGCAGAGAAGACGGAUUACGUUUAAACAUGCAGCAUCGUGAAUAUAGUAACAGUCUAUA